rnacentral:lncRNA from 1 species
GAGAGAAGACAAUGAGGUCAGCUAGAAUGAUGGAUUGUCAUCACUGGGGCACGGGAAAGGGGUUGAGCAAGUCAAUGUAUGUUUUCCAGAGCCUACAGAAUGUGUCUGAUUCUCUGAAGUAUAUUUUUUCUAAAUGCCAGAUUCAAGCAUUAAGCACUGUGCAGUUUUGAGAGAAGAAGUUAUAAAGCAAAACUGACUUGAGUAACCACCAGCCCAACAUUCGGGACUUUGUGGGGAUUGCUAUGGCUCUGCCGGACUUACAAGCAAUAGUGAUGCAGAACCUGUCAUUAGCAUGUGUAAUGCUUGUCAAAAAAUAAUCUCCCAAGAAAUGUUUUAAUUUUCACUGGUCAGUGCACUACCAAUACUAGUUUUGGCAUGGCGGAU